rnacentral:lncRNA from 1 species
GCCAGUUGACCGAUGGCGUUAGGGCCUCCGCUUAACUCAUAUGAGAAUGAGAAGCGCCAGUUGGUCAUUAUAGUGGUAGCCUCUGCUUAGCUUGAACGAGGAUGAGGAGUGUCAUUUGGCCAGCAUCAUCAGACCUCCGCUAAUUCGUAUGAGGAUGAGGAUCGUUGGUUGGCUGUCAUAGUCAUGGCCUCCACUCACCU